GCUACUUUAGCACAGUGGUAGUGCAUUUGACUUGUAAUCAAAAGGUCCGCAGUUCAAUCCUGCGAAGUAGCU
rfam:Fragilariopsis cylindrus CCMP1102 unplaced genomic scaffold FRACYscaffold_90, whole genome shotgun sequence.